rnacentral:rRNA from 1 species
AUUGAACGCUGGCGGCAUGCUUUACACAUGCAAGUCGAACGGUAACAGGCCUUCGGGUGCUGACGAGUGGCGAACGGGUGAGUAAUGCAUCGGAACGUGCCCAGAGGUGGGGGAUAACGCAGCGAAAGCUGUGCUAAUACCGCAUGUGAUCUGAGGAUGAAAGCGGGGGACCAGGCAGCAAUGUUUGGCCUCGCGCCUUUGGAGCGGCCGAUGUCAGAUUAGGUAGUUGGAGGGGUAAAGGCCUACCAAGCCGACGAUCUGUAGCUGGUCUGAGAGGACGACCAGCCACACUGGGACUGAGACACGGCCCAGACUCCUACGGGAGGCAGCAGUGGGGAAUUUUGGACAAUGGGCGCAAGCCUGAUCCAGCAAUGCCGCGUGCGGGAAGAAGGCCUUCGGGUUGUAAACCGCUUUUGUACGGAACGAAAAGGCUCUGGCUAAUACCUGGGGCUGAUGACGGUACCGUAAGAAUAAGCACCGGCUAACUACGUG